rnacentral:lncRNA from 1 species
UCUUAAAGAAGAGAAGCUUUCACGCUUGGAAGAAACAGGGUGAGGAACAAUCAAAUACGGUUCCCCCAUUAUGCGGUGCAUACGAAGUAAUGUUUUAGAGUUGGUGAGGCAAAUCAAAACAAUCCAGGCCCAAUAUCUCUUUUACACCCCAUACUGACUAAAUAAAGCAACUACCACACUUGGGCUUACCAAACUACGAGCCAUGCGCCCAUAAGCUGAUAUCCAGUCCUCCCGAUUG